rnacentral:lncRNA from 1 species
AGAGGACUCAUAAUCAAGGGCAAUAAACUAGAUCCAUAGCAGUUUAAUGGUUCAAAGGGAUGGGAGCUGUUUAUGUCAGUCCUGUCACUUCUUGAAAAUGGAUAAGGCUCCAAAAAAGAAGAGAAGAGCGGGUAUAGCGCUUCCUGGUUUCCAUGAGAUGGCAUUCAGUGCUGGGGGUUGGGUUUGGAGACACAGAAGCGGGUAGGUGCCUGAUCCUGAGUGUGCACGGGCACAUCGUAGGGAUCUUCUGGAGAUGCCGAAUGCGUUUGCGCCUCUUGGGAAGCUGCAUUUGUAGAGUAAUCCUGGAAAACAUACAAAUCAGGCACCUAAAUAUGUGCCGCAGAUGCAGGACUAAGAAUCCGAGUUUCUUGGAAAGCCGCACAGACAGAUUGACAUGUGAUGAAACAUCCACAUUUCACAGUUAGUUUUUCAAAGGCUGAGUUACUUCAGCAGAAUCAUUAACCUGGCUGAGUUCUUUGUAUCCUUAUCUGCUUUGUUGAAUAUUUUCGUAGCGGCAAUUGGUGGUGGCUUGCAUACCCUUAAAGCUGCAAAGCUAGCAUUUUAAUUUAUCCUAAUUCAGAACCUAAUUGUCUUGCACUGUUGGCUAAUUAAAUGUUCAAAGAAGUGAUAAAUUAGGCAGGUUGAUCAUUACAACACAAGUAAUUAGUUAGUCCAGCUGAAUCUGAGCCUUGAAACCCACGUUCCCUGAGAU